AAGAUCAAGCAUAGUGAAAAUAUCAUGAAGAGCAUAGUGCUUUUUAGUAACUCUCAGUAGUAUAAUGUUAUUGUAGAGCAUCUUAUACCAACUUUCUACAAUUCAGUUUUAGGCAAGUAUGUUGAUCACAUAGUAUUUAACAUCAUCAUUUUUUCUAGUCCAGGAUGAAUGAGAUUUUAUUCCUCUAUUGGUGAUGUAGAAUGAGCUGCUUACUCAAGAGAGACCUCUCAACAUAGCAUGAGCCAUCAUUUUGAGUAAAUGUCAUGGGAAUGAGCAGGUUUUAUGGAGGUCAGGCAUGUUAAUUGUCCCAUGUUAAUGUGACAUGGCAUGAUGAGUGAUAAGCUGACAGUGGGACUAGAUCUUAGUGGUCUUUCUCAACCUUAAUGAUUCUGUGAUUAUAUGAUUCCAUGAUGUGAAAGUACCCAAACUCUGCAUCGUGCAUGCAUGCACUAUGCAUGGCACAGACUUUAAUACGUUCAAGUAUACCAUGUGAUGGGUAAAUAUAUAAUGAUGCUCUAUUGAACAAAUUCCAGGGUCUUUCAUCUCUCUGAAAUGGUGCAUUGGAAUCUAGAUAAAGGAGAUAGGAGAUUCUGGAGUUUUGUUGUUUUGUAUUUUUUUAUUUUCAUUUCAUCUGCAAGUCUCUUAAAGCCAUUGCUAGGAGCAGUCUGUGUUAGAAAAAUGAAACACAUCAACAUCUUCAAUAGAAAUUAAAAGAUCUGCAGUGGGCAGCUGUCCCCAAAAAAGGAGAGACAGCCUAAUUCCCUUUACUCUAGCAUAUUCUCUAUUUUAUUGUUACCUGUUCAGUCCAUUCCUGCCUUUGCGUUCUGAGUUCAGUGGAUGCCAUUUCCCUGCUUUUUCUUAAACCUUGUUUCCUCUACAGUCAGUUACACGACUUUACCAAGCACAGUCUGUCAGUAGUGAGGAGUAUGCUGCAGACCCAGAUCAAGACUGGUGCUUAUAGCCAGCCAGUGCUGUCUGCCAAACAGCUUGCAAGGCAGCAAUGGAUGCAGGAGGUGAAAGAUAGGGCAGAGGUAAUGAGUGUGGCUGCUCUACUAACCACUCUUGAACAAGAUGAGGAUGUGGCUUUUGCAUCUGAAUGUUCCUGGCUCAGAAACAAAGCAUUUGGUACAUCACAGUGAAGUUUAUUCAGUGUCGGAGACUUAAUCCCAGGAAUCCACUGUUAUUUUUCUAUGAAUUUUUUUGGCCAGCCAUGUGAUAACAGGGAACUUACUGAUAAGAUGGCAUUAGAGAGCCAGAGAAUGUAUUGUCUACAUAUUACCAAGGUGCUAAUGAUACACACAUUUUAUGAUAUUGCUGUAGUGUUCUUUUUUAAUCAAUUGUGUAAAUUAUUACGGUUAUAGCAAACAAACUAUUAUUCCAUUAUAUAUUUUGCCUGUCAAAUAAAUAAUUUAAAAUUUUUAAGAGAUUAAUUUCGGGAAAAUAGUUUUUUGUGUUACAUUAUUUAACAAUUUACACUUGUAUUCUGAGCUGCUCUAAAUUAGCUUUUUUGGAGCUGUAGCAAGGAAUAAAUUAUUUUC
ensembl:lncRNA